UACGGGGGGGGCAAGCGUUGUUCGGAAUUACUGGGCGUAAAGGGCUCGUAGGCGGCCAACUAAGUCAGACGUGAAAUCCCCCGGCUUAACCAGGGAACUGCGUCUGAUACUGGAUGGCUUGAGUUUGGGAGAGGGAUGCGGAAUUCCAGGUGUAGCGGUGAAAUGCGUAGAUAUCUGGAGGAACACCGGUGGCGAAGGCGGCAUCCUGGACCAACACUGACGCUGAGGAGCGAAAGCCAGGGGAGCAAACGGG
rnacentral:rRNA from 1 species